GACGAACGCUGGCGGCGUGCCUAACACAUGCAAGUCGAGCGAGGGGAGUUCCUUCGGGAACAAACCUAGCGGCGGACGGGUGAGUAACACGUGGGCAACCUGCCUUGUAGAGGGAAUAGCCUUCCGAAAAGGAAGAUUAAUACCGCAUAACAUUACAGUUUCGCAUGAAACAGUAAUUAAAGGAGUAAUCCGCUACAAGAUGGGCCCGCGGCGCAUUAGCUAGUUGGUGAGGUAACGGCUCACCAAGGCGACGAUGCGUAGCCGACCUGAGAGGGUGAUCGGCCACAUUGGGACUGAGACACGGCCCAGACUCCUACGGGAGGCAGCAGUGGGGAAUAUUGCACAAUGGGGGAAACCCUGAUGCAGCAACGCCGCGUGAGUGAUGAAGGUUUUCGGAUCGUAAAGCUCUGUCUUCGGGGACGAUAAUGACGGUACCCGAGGAGGAAGCCACGGCUAACUACGUG
rnacentral:rRNA from 1 species